UACAGAGGUCUCAAGCGUUGUUCGGAUUCAUUGGGCGUAAAGGGUGCGUAGGCGGCCAGGUAGGUCUGCUGUGAAAACUCGAGGCUUAACCUCGAGCUGUCGGCGGAAACCAUCUGGCUAGAGUCCGGAAGAGGAGAAUGGAAUUUACGGUGUAGCGGUGAAAUGCGUAGAUAUCGUAAGGAAGACCAGUGGCGAAGGCGGGUCUCUGGACAGUUCCUGACGCUGAGGCACGAAGGUCAGGGGAGCAAACGGG
rnacentral:rRNA from 1 species